ACACAACCAAAAAAAACAUUCGUAUUGACUCCCAAAUUUGAAGACUGCACAUGUUCAAUGCAUGCUCCACGGCCAAUUUUCUUAUAAUUUUUUUAAUUAAGAUUAACAUUAAAAUUUUUAUGGCCUUCUAAUUCUUAGAUCCAGCCAUGUUCGCUACUAAGAUCCACCAACAAAGCUAGUGCUGCUAUGUAUAGCAAAAGUCUUUGAGUGUUCGGCCGACUAAUACAAAUUGCCCCAUAACUUGGGCUCAGUUACAAAGAUAAAUUACGUAGACAUCACCAUAUAAAGAUCUUGCUGUUUUUUUUCUUUUCAUUUUGUUAUCAAAUCGCUGAUAGGCUAUUACAGAGGUUGGCCACUAACCCAUCUCUUGAACAUAACGGAGUACUCCUCUUGUUUAUACGCUAUCGUGUGCCCCCCGCCCUACAAAACCAAACCCACAAAUAUACUGAGAAACUCUCUCAAAUAUAAAUUUUCAUUUAAUUAGGGGAUAAGAAAAAUGUAGACUUGCUUUCACAGUGGCAAAUGUCAUCUUAUUGGCAUAAGUCCUUGUGUAUCUGCAACGGAAAAAAAAAGAUUGUUUGUUUUAACAUGUGUUUUAUGUGAUUAAAAUGACAAAAAAAAGAAUCCUAAUACCCAGCGACUUGAUUGUGAACCAUCCAUGGCCUCCAUUCGUCAACAAUUGAAUAGUUGAGUGAUCUUAUCCAGUCUUGAGUUGCAAGGAAAGGAACACCCAUGUCGUGAUCACCACUGUUUCACCAGAAACAUCAUGCCAAACUUUAAAAAAAAUAAGUUUAUCAAAACCCUUAGAAAGCCUUAUAACAGAUUACAGAUGAAUAAAGAAGAGUUGCUGUGGACGACCUGAAGAUGAGAGAUCGAUAUCCUUGGAUGCUGUUGUUCUUAUGGUAUGGUACACUGCUUUCAAUGUCAGACUCGAAAGGUAAUUCCCGAUCACAAAGUGACCAUUCUCCGAUAGUCCCCUGCAAAUUUUCACGGUUUUAUUACCAUCAAUCAAAAAGCCUUUCUAUUAUUACCAAACCAUCUUAUAUUAAUAUUUUUUGUUAUCAAUCAUCAUGCAUAUAUAACCUUCUCCACAUGAAGGGCUCUGCGCACACUCUCCUCAUUGGUCCAGCGGUUAGACUGCACAAUCAUGCGAUGCCCAAGCGGGUUGGCGUCAUCGGGGUCAGACGGGUUUAUGUACUUUGGUCCUAGAAUAUAUGACCAAUCUAAUCCAGAAACACACUGUAUAUAAACACAGAGCCUGAAUGUUAGUGAUCUUCCUUUAUAUUAGUUAAGUGUCUGAUAUUUUUAAGAGUGUAUGUAUGUGUUUACGUACCUUCUCAAACUCUUCAACGAGAUUCAUGCAUUCUGUGUUAUGAGGAUCCACUUUAGCAAAAUUUCCUCUGCAGAUUCUCCUUAGCGACUGCAAAUAAGAAUAUUGAGUUAGCUUCGUUGUGAUGAAGAGAAGAAAACGUCUAAGUAGCUGUACCUCAUAGAUUUCAUCAGAGAUCAAACCCAUUCCAUGAGCAAAUGGAAUGCGCCAGUUAUAGCCAACAUAGUCUGUUACAGGAUUUCCCAGCACGUAGCCCUGUAGAGAGGGUGCAACAAGAGUACAAGACUCUCAGUUCUUGAUUCGCUCGACAAGGUUCAUAUUUAUUCAUAUAAUGUAAGAUGCAAGCAUAAGUCCUACGAUGUACCUGAAGAUUUAUUUGAGGUUUACAGCAUAAACCAUUUCCUGAGAUAAAGUGAGAGAUAUUGAAGAAUAAUAGAGAUAUAUACGUUUGAAGAAAUUUCAAUGAAUCAAAAAAAAACCUCUCAAUUAAUUUUUCAACAUUUUAAACCCGCAGCUUACAAACCGUGUAUAUCACCUUCUAUCUACAAUGUUGUUUUGAAAUGAUAAAGACUAAUUGAAAUAAUAUUAAAAAUUUACCAAUUGAGAUUUCUUGAACAACAGCUGGAACCACUUUACCGGAAUAAGAAUUUCCGGCGACAUAAAAAGGGUUGGAGAAAUAUUCAGGAUGCUUGGCUAGCCACUGCACAAGAAUCAGCCAACAACAAUAACAAAACCACAAAAAGGUCUAUGCACAAAGACAUUAGAAGCACACACAUUAAACAGUUUUGAGUUGUUUCUUUACAUUACGAACAAACUCAUGGACCCGCUUAGCUGAUCCUGUGUCACUUGGUAUAUUAGCAAGUCGGUUUCUUGAGUAAGAGAAGCCAGUACCAACAGGCUGAUCCAAAUAGAUUAUAUUCGCCACCUGAUUAAAAAAAGAAGCAAUCAUCCAAAAUCUUUGAAGAUGACCACAAAGAUCUCUGUCAUGUGAAUGUAUAGUGUGUUAACCUUAGUCCAUGAAUAUGUAGUAGAUACCAAUGAUGGGAUGUUUCCACUGUCAGACUCAAUAUUGAAAGCCAGAGGUCCUGCAUUUUUCUCAAAUUGUAAAACCAAGUCAUCAAGAUUUAUGUGGAGAAAAUAUUUUAUAUAUUACCAUUUUCAAGAAUAAGGCCAGAGAGAGAAGAGCAGCCAGGUCCUCCGGUUAACCAGAUAAGAAAAGGGUCUUCUGAUGGGUUUCUCUCAGAUUUGAUGAAGUAGUAGAACAAUUGAUCUUCUUCUGCCUCACCAACACCAAUGUACCUGAAUGACAUACGUCAAAAAAGAAAUCAGAACAUAGAUUCAUUCAUUAUUUUAUAAGACUAGUAUGGAGAUGAGGUGAUGAAGAAGAACAUAACCCAGUUUCAAGCUCAAAAGGAAGAGGUCCUUGGAAACCAGGAAGAUAUCUGACUGUAGAUUCUCCUGAAUAAGCAUGCACAAGAGAAAGAAGUAGAAGCAGCAGCAUCAACGACAACUUGUUCCCCAUUGUUUUCUUUGACUUUUCGAGUUAAACCAUAUGUAGGACGAACACAUUUAUAAUUUUAAAUAAAAGAAAAUGCUUCUGGACUACAAGAAGAAUAUUUACAGUUUUAAAUAAAAGGACACCAGAGGCAGAUACGGAUGGACUACCCAAUAUUUCUCGUAAUCAUAUUUGCAUUUAACAUGGUUACUGUUACUUACCUGGCCGGACUGCGUCAUUGCCUUCUGCAUAUCAUGAACUUCUUGGGGGCUGAGAGGGGCUAGGCUGUGCUUCUUGUUGUUGUGAACGAAACUAUAAAUGUUGGUGCGUCCAUGGUGAAGGGUCUCCUUGUCAAACUGCCACGGCCUUCCUAAAAGUAUAUGGCCGGCUUGCAUGGGUACAACAUCACACUUGACCUGGUCAUGGUACUUGCCAAUACUGAAGGACACAACAACUUGUUCGACAAUCUUGAGUUCAGUCUCAUCAUUGAGCCAUUUGAGACAGUAUGGCCGGGGAUGUGCAGUUUUGACGAAUCCUAGCUUAUCAACAAGAUACUUGCUAGCCAUGUUUGUAACACCCCCGGACCGUACCAGGCCGGACUAACCCGAUACGUCCCGGGAGAGCCACAAGUAUAGCUCACCGUACCGGUUCGACCAAGAAUCAAGAACAAGUCAAGACUCUCGACCAAUCCGUUCCAGUUUGCUAUGACCUCGAUGUCAUGGCCUAAGGCUUCACAACCCGUACCACAAUCAUCAAGUUGUGUCGACCCGGACAAGGUCUAGUAUCAUUUAACACACAACUACGAAUAUAAACAUACAUUUUAUUAAUAAUAGGUAGAAAGCGUUUUACAAAACAUUACAAUACAAAAUAUCAGAGUUUGAGCUCACGGCCUAGUGCCAAAAUGAAAAGAAAGUAAUUAUACAUUCCAAAAGAUAGUCCGCUUAUGCUUAUGCCACUUCCAAUCUACACCGGCCGCUUCCCGUUCCGCUGCGCCCUAAGCUUCCUACCUACGGGUUACCUGCAUAGUAGAAGAGGGGAUGAGUAAUCGGAAAUACUCAGUGAACUAUUAGCAUAAUCACUAUGUUUUUGUCCGCAUGUCCUCUUAAUUCUUCAAGCCAUUUAGCCAUGUGAUCAAAUGAUUGACGUUUGGUCAUGUCGUAGACCAGCAUUGCCCCAACAGCUCCACGGUAGUAUGCGCUUGUCACCGCCCGGUAUCUGAAAUAAGAGGAACAGUAACAGUUUCAUAAACAAAGUUAUGGUCAAUCUAUAUAGCACACGAGAUAUCUGUGAAACCUCACAUAGCCAUGUUGCAUUGGACAUGACAUAUAAGAGUAGAAUCAUCAAACUAGCUCAUGAUUGUCCAUAAAAGUUCAGACUUAAAAAGUAAGUGGGAAACUUAUUUUCUUUCUCCUGAAUAGUAUUAUAGUAAUGACCAAGAAGCCUAAAAUCAAUGAGCAUACUCGUGUGCAUAAAGUAAGAAAAGCAGUCAACGAGGAGUUGAUGAUCUAUUGGUUAAAACUUUUAGAUCACUUAGUUGGGUCUAAAAGGUCAUAUGUUCGAUUUUCGUCGGGAAUAGUCUGAUCUAAAGAGAGUUAGUUCAACAUGGUUUAGACCUCGAGCCUUCAGGCCAAAAAACUCCAAGUCAUUCCAAAACAAAAAACGAUGUGGUACGUAGGUGUAUGGUUAAGUAAAGUUCGUAUGAAUAAUCCCAUUCGAUGAUAUCUUACAAAAUAAUCCAGAAGAUUCUAACCUAAUUUUCCAUAUAUCGACUAAUACUGGAUCAUAUACCUGUUGCCUGAUUGUUUAAGACAUAGUUUCCGACAAGAAACACAAACUAUUUGUGUAUUUACAGAUAAAGGAUAAAUGUCACUACCACAUAUUAUAAUAUUAUACAUGCAUGGCAGUGUCACUCUCUCAAAUGAAUGAUUUGAGAUCAUAAAGCAAAAGGAAUUAAGUGGAAGUUAGCAAACCUUUCUUGACCAGCCGUAUCCCAAAUCUGAGCUUUGACAGUUUUGUUAUCGAUAACAAGCGUUUUAGUUUGGAACUCAACACCGAUGGUUGCUUUAGAAUCAACACUAAAUUCGUUCCUAGCGAACCGAGCAAGCAGCUGAGUUUUACCAACCGCUGAAUCGCCGAUCAACACGACUUUGAAAACAUAAUCGAUCUUUUGGUUGUAAUCUCCAUACAAAUUAGACAUAUCGAUCGUUCGGUCACCUUCUUAUUCAAAAACAAAAACAGUUAUAAUAAACACGCAGAUAAUUGUAGAUCACGUCAGAUAAUUGUAGAUCACGACGUGAAGAGUCUUGGAUUCGUGUUGCACACAUAAUCUACCAUGAACAAAAUUACAAGAAACUUAGAUCAAGAUGGACGUAGGAGGAGGGGGAGGAGGACAACGAUUACGAACGGUGGUUAGGCAUUUGAUACGUAGACAAGAGAAAGUUUCACCCUAAGCCAAAUUCAUCUUGGCCGGUCUAUCACUCUAUCUUACUUCCUUUUUGCCCUAGGUCACCGGUUCAAUAGUUUAACCGGUGGUCUUUAUCAAAACCGAUUGUUACCAGGAAACGAUUAACAAAACUCAAGCAAAACUUCUAUUUAAUUUUUAAAUAAUCAUAAACGAAAUUAAUGGAGAACGUAUCUGAAACUCAAAAAUUAAAUUUUGUAAGAAUAGUUGAUUCAAAAUCAUUAAAAGAAUAUAUCGUAUCUUGCGAAUAUAUAUCUUCGGAAUAUAUGAUUGUAGAUAUUUACAGCAUGUGGAUCUCAAUUGCUUGGUGGUAGGCGUUGGUGAUUAAUUAGGUCAAACUCUAAGAAGUAUAUACAUGGCCUUCAAGGCUCAUUAAGGGAUCAAUACACAGAAAACCGCAACUAGGCCAUCUUUAUCCCACAAACCCAUUAAAGAGUUUCUUAAAAAAUUAUUUUACUAUAAGCUGGAAUUGAGUUUUCAUCCUCAUUUACAAUUUAUUUUCAGUUUUUACUUGAGAAAAAAUACAAAGAAACAAAUUAAGAUAACAUGUCAUCAUCAUUCAUACGAGAAUGUAAGAAGAUUGUUCAUAAACAUAAAGAAGAUCAAGUAUUUGGUUAGACGAUCCUUGACGGUCUGGUUCAUUUAGUUGAUUAAAAAAAUAUAAUAUUUGAAACAUAUGUUAAGGUCUUUAAAUAGCAAACUUGUUUAGUAACGUAUGAACAUAUUGGUGGUGGGAAUCGAAUCCUAAAGAUACCAUACACUAAUUUUUAUUUUUAUUUACAAAGCAAUCAUUAAAACUCGUUAGAAGUACAUAUGACUUGAUCAAAUGACCGUAUCAAUAGGAAGUGAUAAUCAAUGGAGACUUCAUUCAUCAUCGUGAUCAAUGGAGUUCUUGUCUUCUAGUUCUUGAUUAGACUUUUAUCCCCCAUGCAAAAAUGCAUGCAUCGUGAUUUCUUAAGCAACUUAAACGUUAUUCACCGUCACGUAUAUAAAAAAAGAAGUUGGAAUUAACCAAAAAUUAUAAUUUGAGUGUUUGGCCGAAUCAUACAAGAGAUGGCCUUCGAAGUGUUCAAGAGAUGGAACUAGACAAGUUCUCCAUAAUCAUAUUUGUUCGUUUGUUUGAGCUUGUCCAUAAUUAAGACUGUACAGCCUUAAUUAUGUUUUUUUUUUCUUCUAAAUGAUUCGCCAUCAUGACCGGAUCAUGACACAACCAAAAAAAACAUUCGUAUUGACUCCCAAAUUUGAAGACUGCACAUGUUCAAUGCAUGCUCCACGGCCAAUUUUCUUAUAAUUUUUUUAAUUAAGAUUAACAUUAAAAUUUUUAUGGCCUUCUAAUUCUUAGAUCCAGCCAUGUUCGCUACUAAGAUCCACCAACAAAGCUAGUGCUGCUAUGUAUAGCAAAAGUCUUUGAGUGUUCGGCCGACUAAUACAAAUUGCCCCAUAACUUGGGCUCAGUUACAAAGAUAAAUUACGUAGACAUCACCAUAUAAAGAUCUUGCUGUUUUUUUUCUUUUCAUUUUGUUAUCAAAUCGCUGAUAGGCUAUUACAGAGGUUGGCCACUAACCCAUCUCUUGAACAUAACGGAGUACUCCUCUUGUUUAUACGCUAUCGUGUGCCCCCCGCCCUACAAAACCAAACCCACAAAUAUACUGAGAAACUCUCU
rnacentral:lncRNA from 1 species